rnacentral:misc_RNA from 1 species
AAAAAAGGUUUUAAAGAAAAAUGGAGAGCAAAGUGGUUGUGUCAAACUUUAUCAACGGCGAGUUUGUGUCCACGGACAAUUACAUCGACAGUUUCGACCCGUCGACAGGGGAGGUGUGGGCGAAAAUUCCGGACAGCGGCGAGAAGGAGGUCAACGAGGCCGUCAACGCCGCGAAGGCGGCAUUUCCAAAGAUGGGCCAACACCCCAGUUCUGGAGAGGUCCAAGCUGAUGUUGAAAAUUGCUGACCUGAUUGAAGCAAGACAGAGUGAGUUUGCCGAGCUUGAGUCUCGAGACCAAGGGAAACCUGUGUGGUUAUCCAAGAGUGUGGACAUUCCACGCCUGAUGCACAAUUUCAGGAGCUUUGCUACCGCAGUCCUUCAUCACGUCAACAGGUCCUCUGUAAUGGAGCCUGUGAACGCAGUGAAUUACACGGUCAAUGACCCAGUGGGUGUGGCUGGCCUUAUCAGCCCCUGGAACCUCCCUUUAUACCUGCUCUCCUUUAAGGUUGCCCCAGCUAUUGCCUGUGGCAACACUGUGGUUGCUAAGCCCAGCGAGAUGACGUCUGUCACCGCCUGGAAACUGUGCGAGAUUUUUAAAGAAGCAGGUGUGCCUCCAGGUGUUAUCAAUAUUGUGUUUGGAGUCGGUCCCCGAGGCAGGCGAGGCCCUUGUCAAACAUCCAGACGUACCCCUUGUGUCAUUUACUGGGGGUACUGUGACGGCCAAGAGAAUUCGAGAAGUUUGUGCUCCACAUUGUAAAAAAUUUUCACUGGAGCUUGGUGGAAAAAAUCCUGCUGUAAUUUUUGAUGAUGCUGACUUUGAAAAGUGCUUGUCAACAACAAUAAGGUCAAGUUUUGUCAACCAAGGAGAGAUCUGCCUGUGUACUAGUCGUAUUUAUGUACAGAGAGCAAUGUACCCCAAAUUUGUGGAGAAGUUUGUGUCCGAAACAAAAAAGUUAACGGUUGGAAACCCCAAGAAUGAGAAGACAUUCAUGGGUGCCUUAAUCAGUAAAGAACAUUUGGCCAAGGUCAAAGGUUAUGUGGAUAUUGCUGAAAAGGAGGGGGCUACAAUUGCCUGUGGAAAAGAGGAGUUGAAUCUAGAGGACUCCAUCAAAAAUGGCUACUACAUGCGACCCACCGUGAUUACUGAUGUGAAGGAUGACUCUCGGUUGAUGAAGGAGGAAAUCUUUGGCCCAGUGACAUGUAUCGUACCCUUUGACACAGAAGAGGAAGUGAUACGACGAGCCAAUGACGUGGAGUAUGGGUUAGCAGCCACACUGUGGACCCAGGAUGCAUCGCGGCUCCACCGCGUCUCAAGGUGUCUACAGGUUGGGACAGUGUGGGCCAACUGCUGGCUAGUGCGAGAUCUAAACAUGCCGUUUGGAGGGAUGAAGAAUUCGGGGAUGGGAUUUGAGGGCAACUUUGAUUCCAUGGAGUUUUUUACAAAUCAAAAAACUAUUUGUGUCAAAUUAUAGAUGCAAAUUGUGCAUCAAAAUUUCUUUCAGUAUUUUGAUUUUUCACAGAUUUUUUUUUUUUUAAUUGUACUUGGCUAUCAAAACAAUAUUCAGUGCUUUCAGAACACAAGCUUUCAUGUUUUCAUGAAAAAGUAUGCAAUACACUAUCCCUGUCAGCCUAUACUUGUAGCACAGCAGAUGGUUCAUUGAUUUUAAUUAGGCCUAUUUCCAUAACACAGAUGAUUUGCUUCUUUUGGCCUAAAAUAUGAAAAUGAAUCUUACCAAUUCAAUGAUUAUCCUUUUUCAUAACUUUUUUUUUUAGAUUUUAUAUGCUGCGUUAGCUUGUUGUGAGAAUUGGGACAAAAUCAUGCUUUUUGGAUGUGUAAUCAAAAAUAAGCCAAUAUGUCUACAUAUUGUUCUUCUUGCAUUUUAUAACACCACAUGUCCAUGUGCACUUGUUAUUCCAUUCAGUAUUAUUUCAUUCAGAAUUUGUCCGACUGCUUACAUCAUAGACAUUAAAAAGGUUAACAUUUCCCAUUUAUAGUGUAUUGAAGUAGGGGGAAAUAUAAGCCUUAUGACAAAUAAUCAACAGUAGCUAGGUUUUGUUUGCAUCUUUUCAUUUUUUUGGUACAUAAAAAUACCAAUGGAAGAUGGAAGUUCCAAUCUCUCUGCUGAUAGUGUACUAGUCUUUAAGGUGAUUGGGAGAGAUAGUCAUUUUCUGUUUAGUGUAAUCCUUUUUAUUAAGUCUUAAGUUGACAGUGUCUUAGGAUUGUUCUUUUUACAUUGGUUGUGAUUUGUGAUCUUGAAUUAUCAAACUAAGUACUAGUAUGUUAAGGAGUUGAAUUGUACAGCAUUAAUUGUUUUCUGUGAUCUAGUUUUUUAAAACUAUUCUUAAACAUGAACAUAGUCAAGAAAAAUUUGAAUACAAGUGCCAAUGAAGGGGAAAACCUUUACAAAUGUUGAGCAUUAACAAAGAUCUGUCUCUGAUGUAUACAAGUACUUUAUAACACAUUCCACGAUAAUUCUGCUUACUGUAGGUUCCUUAUUCCAUGCAAGUACUUAAUUCUGCUAUUCCACCGUUUUGUCUCAAAUCACAAGAAAUUGCAUAUGCAGAACUUUCAUCUUAGUUUCAUGAAGUUACAUCUGUCAGAAAAAUAAAGCAAGAUUUUAAAAUCUGCAAGAUGUGCUUCUCACAAGUUUAUGCAGAUUUUAAUUCCUGGUGUUUAAUUAGGAACCUACAGUUUAUAUGUAACAUAGAUUCAUUAAGCAUGUGCAUAUGAUUAUCUGUUGAAAGAACGUUUUAAUGUCAAAUGCAUACAGUUGGUGGACAUAUAUAGCAUAAUCUUAUAGUAUAAAUGUAAGAAUCUUAUAGUAAAAAUAUAUAUAGUAUACUGAAAAUUUUGUGGACAAGUAAACAUAUUUAUUGUUAUACAUUUUAGGUUUGGUUUGUACUUUUGUUUUAUACUGUAGAUGUAGCAAAAAUAGUUUAAAAAGUUUACUUUGAUAAAGUGUUUCAUUCUCUAUGAGGUUUGUAUAAUGUAGUUCAAAAACUUUUUUUUAUUUUUUGUUUUACAAAUUAAGUGGAGCUUUAUUUUACAUGACACUAGAAUAGUUAGUUAUUAGAAUUGUUCAAAAAGUUCUGUUUUGAAUUGAGAGCUUGUUCAUAAAAAUCCAAUAAAGUUUUCCGACAAAUACC